AUCGCUUCUCGGCCUUUUGGUAAAGAUCAUGUGUAAUACCUGUUCUUGUCAGCUUAAUAUCUGGCAUCCUGGGCAGUUCCUGGUACCAAUAUUAAACUGAUUUUUGCUACUUGAGAUAACACCAAAGCCUGCUUCAGUUGACUCACGGAUUGUACCGGUCUUACACUACCCUCAUGAUAUGUCUGCUUCAG